CCAACAUAAGCAUCUUUCUGGCCCAUGCCAACCAUCACACCGGUGUGACGAGGACGACCAACAAUGCUAGGGAAGACUGCCCGAGGAGCAUCAUCCCCAGCAAAUCCAGCCUAAAACAAUGGCACAAAGAAGAAGAGGUGGUGUAUGCUUCAACUCCAAUGUACCAUUAAAAAUUCGAACAGAGAAAAGAAUAGAAAAUUUAAAACUAGACCCCGGAGUUUGCAACUUCGUCAGAGGAGAUUGUUUUGUUGGAGAGUCAUCAGACGAGGCCCAAAAUCAUUGUUGUUGCAGAAUCGUCGGAGAUGGAGGUCGAUCUCGCCGUCACUACAUCGUCGGAGCCUCCGAUGACAUUGGUGGAGGAGAAAAAAAAGAAACAAUGGCCAUGGAUUUGACCUAAUACUUUAUUCCACUACAACAAUUGCACGUGUAUUUGAUCUAUGUUAUCAUGAAAAUUGAGUCUAAGUGUGGGUUAGUGAUGGCUUC